rnacentral:rRNA from 1 species
GGUUUCCGUAGGUGAACCUGCGGAAGGAUCAUUACCGAUGUAAUCCAAAAGCAGGACUCCGUCGUGACUACCGUGUGAACUGUACCAAACUAUUCAGGGGUCGGCCGGUCCGUUAAAUGGCGGUCGGACGCGUGUAGUGCGCGGCCGCUCCGCCAGCCCCGCCUGUGUUUUUUAUCAUACGUGUCUUGUCUGAAAACGUGACCACUGCCGUGGUCUAGAGCAAAUAAAAAGAGAGACAACUUUUGACGGUGGAUCUCUUGGCUCACGCAUCGAUGAAGAACGCAGCCAGCUGCGAUAAGUAGUGUGAAUUGCAGAAUUCAGUGAAUCAUCGAAUCUUUGAACGCAAAUGGCGCUCUUGGGUUCUCCCAGGAGCAUGUCUGUCUGAGUGUCGGAUAUCAUCCAACGCACCUAUUCGUGCGGCGUUGAGGCGUCACGGCCCUUCUUGCGGCCGUGUCCCUUGAAAGUUAGAGAGACUCGCCGCGGCACGGGCUCGUUCCCUGCACACUCGCGGAGGCUAAAAACGCUUUUGCCCUUCGCGUGCACGGGAGCGACUCGUCCGCCGAGUCGCGGAGGCGAAAACUUUUUCAACUCUUGACCUCAGAUCAGG